rnacentral:rRNA from 1 species
AUGAGAACCAAUCCUACUACUUCUCCUCCCGGGGCUUCCACAAUUGAAGAAAAAAGUAUAGGUCGUAUCGAUCAAAUUAUUGGACCCGUGCUGGAUGUCACUUUUCCCCCAGGCAGGUUACCUUAUAUUUAUAACGCUUUGGUAGUCCAGAGUAGAGACACUGACGAUAAGCAAAUUAAUGUGACUACGGAUAAUGCAAAUCGAAGCUAUUUGAUGUCUGACUCAGGCCUAUAUGACCGAUCGAUCGAAAUACUCCAAGACUCCACCUUUGUCAUAUAUUCCAUAUAUCACAUUAGAUAG